rnacentral:misc_RNA from 1 species
CCAAAUUUUAAAGGUUCCUAGUUUACUAGGAUGCCUAGGUAUUGAAACAUAUACCACUUUUACCUUGUGUGCAAUGUAAUUGUAUUGAUGGAUUUUCUAUCUGGGUUUACUUGGAUGGGAAAUCUAUAUAAACAUUUUAAGUUUUCUUAAGUCUGAAAAGUAUUUUAUAUUUGAUAUUUUACUUCGGUAGAGUAUUUAAAAUUUUAAAA